AUUGAACGCUGGCGGCAUGCCUUACACAUGCAAGUCGAACGGCAGCACGGGAGCAAUCCUGGUGGCGAGUGGCGAACGGGUGAAGUAAUAUAUCGGAACGUGCCCAGUCGUGGGGGGAUAACGUAGCGAAAGCUACGCUAAUACCGCAUACGAUCUAUGGAUGAAAGCGGGGGAUCGCAAGACCUCGCGCGAUUGGAGCGGCCGAUAUCAGAUUAGGUAGUUGGUGAGGUAAAGGCUCACCAAGCCGACGAUCUGUAGCUGGUCUGAGAGGACGACCAGCCACACUGGGACUGAGACACGGCCCAGACUCCUACGGGAGGCAGCAGUGGGGAAUUUUGGACAAUGGGCGCAAGCCUGAUCCAGCAAUGCCGCGUGCAGGAUGAAGGCCUUCGGGUUGUAAACUGCUUUUGUACGGAACGAAACGGUGAGCUCUAAUACAGUUUGCUAAUGACGGUACCGUAAGAAUAAGCACCGGCUAACUACGUG
rnacentral:rRNA from 1 species